AAAACCUAAAAUUCCCAAAUCAUCUCCUUCUAUCGCCGUCAUCUACCACCACGCCGCGUCCAUUGUUCAUCUGACUCAAACCGUGACCCCUUGUUGUUGUCGCCUCCUUCGCCACUGCCAUCUGCCGCCUCCACCGGUUCUUUUUCCGACUCCUACGAUUCUUCUUCGUCUUUUCAUCUUCGUCGGUGUUACGGUCUCAAUUGUUUUCAAAUAUCAUGUGUAUUAGAAGAAAGGAUUCUGAUAUGUUUGGUUUAGAAUUGAUAUUAUGGAGACAUUGUAUACAAUUUGUAUUAUGCUUGGUUUGACUUAUGCAGGCAAAGCAUGAAGGAGAAAUUUUGGUGCACGACAAUUGUGAAGUAGCAAACUUAAUUUUCGGCAACGUUUGAAUCAUAAAUAAGACAAGUGAACAAAUUUGAUUCAAGUACUAUACUUAUGAAGCAUAAAGAAGAUGAAGAAACAAAAUAGUUUUAGGCCAUAAUGUACUUUUAGGAUAUAAUGUAUAAUUUGAUAGUUUGUUUUUUCAAGUUCAAAGUAACAUGAUCCGUUUUUGA